rnacentral:rRNA from 1 species
UACAGAGGUCCCAAGCGUUGUUCGGAUUCACUGGGCGUAAAGGGUGCGUAGGCGGUCGGGUAAGUCUGAUGUGAAAUCUCACAGCUUAACUGUGAAACUGCAUUGGAUACUAUCCGGCUCGAGGAAUGGAGGGGAGACUGGAAUACUUGGUGUAGCAGUGAAAUGCGUAGAUAUCAAGAGGAACACCAGUGGCGAAGGCGAGUCUCUGGACAUUUACUGACGCUGAGACACGAAAGCCAGGGGAGCAAACGGG